rnacentral:rRNA from 1 species
AGAGUUUGAUCCUGGCUCAGGAUGAACGCUGGCGGCAUGCCUAAUACAUGCAAGUCGAACGAAGUUUCGAGGAAGCUUGCUUCCAAAGAGACUUAGUGGCGAACGGGUGAGUAACACGUAGGUAACCUGCCCAUGUGUCCGGGAUAACUGCUGGAAACGGUAGCUAAAACCGGAUAGGUAUACAGAGCGCAUGCUCAGUAUAUUAAAGCGCCCAUCAAGGCGUGAACAUGGAUGGACCUGCGGCGCAUUAGCUAGUUGGUGAGGUAACGGCCCACCAAGGCGAUGAUGCGUAGCCGGCCUGAGAGGGUAAACGGCCACAUUGGGACUGAGACACGGCCCAAACUCCUACGGGAGGCAGCAGUAGGGAAUUUUCGUCAAUGGGGGAAACCCUGAACGAGCAAUGCCGCGUGAGUGAAGAAGGUCUUCGGAUCGUAAAGCUCUGUUGUAAGUGAAGAACGGCUCAUAGAGGAAAUGCUAUGGGAGUGACGGUAGCUUACCAGAAAGCCACGGCUAACUACGUGCCAGCAGCCGCGGUAAUACGUAGGUGGCAAGCGUUAUCCGGAAUCAUUGGGCGUAAAGGGUGCGUAGGUGGCGUACUAAGUCUGUAGUAAAAGGCAAUGGCUCAACCAUUGUAAGCUAUGGAAACUGGUAUGCUGGAGUGCAGAAGAGGGCGAUGGAAUUCCAUGUGUAGCGGUAAAAUGCGUAGAUAUAUGGAGGAACACCAGUGGCGAAGGCGGUCGCCUGGUCUGUAACUGACACUGAGGCACGAAAGCGUGGGGAGCAAAUAGGAUUAGAUACCCUAGUAGUCCACGCCGUAAACGAUGAGAACUAAGUGUUGGAGGAAUUCAGUGCUGCAGUUAACGCAAUAAGUUCUCCGCCUGGGGAGUAUGCACGCAAGUGUGAAACUCAAAGGAAUUGACGGGGGCCCGCACAAGCGGUGGAGUAUGUGGUUUAAUUCGAAGCAACGCGAAGAACCUUACCAGGCCUUGACAUGCCAGUGACCGCCCUAGAGAUAGGGUUUCUCUUCGGAGCACUGGUGACAGGUGGUGCAUGGUUGUCGUCAGCUCGUGUCGUGAGAUGUUGGGUUAAGU